rnacentral:lncRNA from 1 species
CAUUUUGGGCCGAAAGCAACGUAAAGCUGCAAGCAGCGCUCACCCACCCUCAGAGCUGCUUUACAAUGUAUCAGCGAUACCUGCGCACACAGCCCUCGGAUUUCCCCCCAGCUUUAUUGAGAUAUACUUGACAGGUCCUGUGCUAGAUGCUGGGGACAGAUGUGCCAGCAGGGAAGACAAAUGGAAAUGAGCAGAUGCGACCCACGAGCUGUGAUGCAGUUACACGGGGCUGAGGGGAGCAUCGAGUCACCUGUGUCCUGAGCUCCACAAGAACCACAGCUGACGUCGUCUCCACCCAAGUCACCCUGUGAUGUCCAUUCGAGCCCAGCAACUUCAUUCCCAGGGUGCUGAUCUGGCCUAUCUGUGUAUGUAUAAGUCUGUACAGAAACGAUUAUAAUCAACUUCUUAAACAGAAUAAACAGCAUAAGAGAGUGACACUAACAAACAAGAAGCCGGAGGGAGAGUCUUAAAAACUCUCCCUGCAGAGGAGGG